rnacentral:rRNA from 1 species
UCGUCCUACGGGACGCAGCAGUGGGGAAUAUUGGGCAAUGGAGGAAACUCUUACCCAGCAAUGCCGCGUGAAUGAAGAAGGUCUUCGGAUUGUAAAGUUCUUUAAUUGGGGACGAAAAAAAUGACGGUACCUGAGUAAGAAGCCCCGGCUAACUACGUGCCAGCAGCCGCGGUAAUACGUAGGGGGCAAGCGUUAUCCGGAUUUACUGGGUGUAAAGGGAGCGUAGACGGCAGUGCAAGUCUG